AACAAAACCAGCUGGAGAAGAGAAAAGGACCAGUUACUGGAAGAUAAAGCCAGUCUUAUGAAAAUGAAUUACCAGUUAAAAGCCAACAUCACUGAACUCAUCAGAGACAACGCUGACUUGUUGGAGGAGUUUUGCAAACACAAGCCUAUGAAAUGUAAGCACUUUGAGAAGUCUGAAGGAACUGGGAAAGGGCGGAUGGGACACAGCUGACCACAGAGAGGUACCAGCAUGUCCCACAUAUUUAACAUGAAGCAAAUGAAGACUGUUUUGUGAUAGAAAAGCCUCAAGAUGAAGAAGGAAGUCUGGAAUAUCUUAAAACAUUAUGUGGCAGAAGAAUUUACUAAAUACAUCCAGUCUGUUACUGUUCUGAUUAAUUAUGUUACAUUGGUGCACUUCUCUCUCAAAUGAAUGUUUACAUGAUAUUGUUACACUGAGAUUGUUACAAAACCUGAUCAUCUGACUGGACUUUGUUGUGUGAUGUUGCUUAUUUGUUCCUUUAUCUCAGCAAGUUUGCGGGUAAUCACACCACAACCUUAUCUACGACUAAAUCUGUUUAUUAACUACAAAUUUGCUUUGUCAAACAUCACUGCUGACUAGGUUGUGUUCACUGGCAACAUUGUUUUAAUACCUUGUGAGGAUGCUAGUGUGCAGGGUUGCCAAGCACAUAAAACACAGACACCAGAUGACAGGCGCUUGCUUCCUGCGUCGCACACACUGACAGGUUUACGCUAUUUUGAAGCAUUCUGUAUGUUUACUAUGAAUGGUCCCCAUGUUAUAACUGCUAAAACAAACUAUACCAUACUUAA